CGCGCGCCCCACGCCGCCCGCUUCCCACAGGUCCAGCCGCACCUCGCAGCCCAGCCCCGCGCGCAGCAGCUCGGCCAGGGCGCACACCAGCCCCAGGUGCUCCUCCGAGUCCGGGGAGUACAGCAGCAGCACGGGGCGGCCGCCCGCUGCGCCUGCGGGUGGCCUCCAUGCGCCGCGGCAGUUGAGGAGCAGCACGGUCAGCACCAGCCCCAGCGCCAGCCCCAGCCCCAGCAGCCCGAAAUGCCUGCGUGAGACUGCGAGAGGGGCGGUGAGGGGCGGGGGGAAGCCCCCACACCCCACCCCCAGACCCCAGACCCUCCUGCUGGCUCCAGGACCCCGCUCACCAUCAGGGCAGAGCAGCUGCUUCCUGGCGAAGCGCACGUC
rnacentral:lncRNA from 1 species